CGCCAGACUCCUACGGGAGGCAGCAGUGGGGAAUAUUGCACAAUGGGGGAAACCCUGAUGCAGCAACGCCGCGUGAGUGAGGAAGUAUUUCGGUAUGUAAAGCUCUAUCAGCAGGGAAUAGAAAAGAAGGUACCUGACUAAGAAGCCCCGGCUAACUACGUGCCAGCAGCCGCGGUAAUACGUAGGGGGCAAGCGUUAUCCGGAAUCACUGGGUGUAAAGGGAGCGUAGACGGCUGAGCAAGCCUGAAGUGAAAGGCGGGGGCCCAACCCCCGGACUGCUUUGGGAACUGUACGGCUGGAGUGCAGGAGAGGUAAGUGGAAUUCCUAGUGUAGCGGUGAAAUGCGUAGAUAUUAGGAGGAACACCAGUGGCGAAGGCGGCUUACUGGACUGUAACUGACGUUGAGGCUCGAAAGCGUGGGGAGCAAACAGGAUUAGAUACCCGGGUAAG
rnacentral:rRNA from 1 species